rnacentral:rRNA from 1 species
UGGGGAAUAUUGCACAAUGGGCGCAAGCCUGAUGCAGCCAUGCCGCGUGUGUGAAGAAGGCCUUCGGGUUGUAAAGCACUUUCAGCGGGGAGGAAGGCGAUAAGGUUAAUAACCUUAUCAAUUGACGUUACCGACAGAAGAAGCACCGGCUAACUCCGUGCCAGCAGCCGCGGUAAUACGGAGGGUGCAAGCGUUAAUCGGAAUUACUGGGCGUAAAGCGCACGCAGGCGGUUGAUUGAGUCAGAUGUGAAAUCCCCGGGCUUAACCCGGGAAUUGCAUCUGAGACUGGUCAGCUAGAGUCUUGUAGAGGGGGGUAGAAUUCCAUGUGUAGCGGUGAAAUGCGUAGAGAUGUGGAGGAAUACCGGUGGCGAAGGCGGCCCCCUGGACGAAGACUGACGCUCAGGUGCGAAAGCGUGGGGAGCAAACAGG